rnacentral:rRNA from 1 species
AGCGGCGAGCGAACGCGGAUUAGCCCAAACCAAUAAAGUUUUCUUUAUUGGGGUUGCGGACAUAUCAUAACGAAGAGGUAUCGUAAUUGAAGAGGUUUGGAAAGAUCCACCACAGAAGGUAAUAGUCCUGUAUGUUAAACGAGAAGACUUUAGAUAUGAUCCAGAGUACCACGGGACACGUGAAACCCUGUGGGAAGCAGGAGGGACCACACUCCAAGGCUAAAUACUACCUAGUGACCGAUAGCGUAUAGUACCGUGAGGGAAAGGUGAAAAGAACCCCGGGAGGGGAGUGAAAUAGAACCUGAAACCCUGCACUUACAAGCUGUGGAAGCACAUUUCUUGUGUGACCGCGUACUUUUUGUAGAACGGGCCAACGAGUUACGUUAAGUAGCAAGGUUAAGC